rnacentral:rRNA from 1 species
AACGAACGCUGGCGGCAGGCCUAACACAUGCAAGUCGAGCGGACCCUUCGGGGUUAGCGGCGGACGGGUGAGUAACGCGUGGGAAUAUGCCCUUCUCUACGGAAUAGUCCUGGGAAACUGGGGGUAAUACCGUAUACGCCCUUUGGGGGAAAGAUUUAUCGGGGAAGGAUUAGCCCGCGUUGGAUUAGGUAGUUGGUGGGGUAAUGGCCUACCAAGCCGACGAUCCAUAGCUGGUUUGAGAGGAUGAUCAGCCACACUGGGACUGAGACACGGCCCAGACUCCUACGGGAGGCAGCAGUGGGGAAUCUUAGACAAUGGGGGCAACCCUGAUCUAGCCAUGCCGCGUGAGUGAUGAAGGCCUUAGGGUUGUAAAGCUCUUUCAGCUGGGGAGAUAAUGACGGUACCAGCAGAAGAAGCCCCGGCUAACUCCGUG